UAUAAAGGUACAAAUCUCGAUGUGUAGUGUGACACUCUUGUUCGAGGAGUCCAGUUCAUUAUGUGCCAAAAUCUGGCACGUGAUCUCUGCGGCAUUUCGCGUCUGUAACGCUGUACUGUCCUACCGUGCAUAUCUAUAACAAAGUGCAUCACAAUCGCAAUCGCAAUCACCAUGGCAUAAUAGCCGGCAGCGAACACAAUGUGUACAUCCUGCUGAUGAUAACCCAUAGGUGGGGGAAGCGGACAACAGACGCCAUUCAGCCUACUUGGCACUGCCGAAGAAAUCGGCCAUGAAAAACACACUACGGUCGGCAAUAACCCCAGCAAGCAAGGAUACAACCAUAGGAGAGAUUCUACACGAGUCCCCUAGGUUGAAAGGCAAAGGUCCUUCAGUUGCACUAGUAUCCGGCAGUGACCACAGGAAUGUAGGCUCGUCGGAAUGUCCAGGACCAUCUUCAGGACGAUGGCAUGGCGGUGCCCCCUCUUACAGCCGUACUGAGGGGGAUGCAGAGGGGAACAUAGUCCGAAGGACAUCGGAAGAUCCUGUGAAGGCAUGGAGUGUAAGAGGGGAGCCGCCGUCAAGUUCGGCUUUCAUGUCAGAAGUCGUGCAAGUAUUACCUGAAGAUGGUGAUCUCCAAAGUGUGACAUCAAAUCCUGCUGUAUCAUAUUCUACACUGAGUAAUGAAAGGACUGCUUCAUCCAGUAAAGGUGGUCCUGUGCGAAGCAGCGGUGUGCACAUGAACGCACAAGAGAGGCGGGUUUUGCAGUACGCCACCGCAUUCCUUGUUUUGGUCCUCAUCGUGGCAACAGUGAUCUUGUUCCGGGAAACCUCGGUUUUAUGACACAAUAGUUGCAAUACAUAUUGGAAAUUAGUAA